rnacentral:rRNA from 1 species
GACGAACGCUGGCGGCGUGCCUAAUACAUGCAAGUCGAGCGAGCUGAACCAACAGAUUUACUUCGGUAAUGACGUUGGGAACGCGAGCGGCGGAUGGGUGAGUAACACGUGGGGAACCUGCCCCUCAGUCUGGGAUACCACUUGGAAACAGGUGCUAAUACCGGAUAAUAAAGCAGAUCGCAUGAUCAGCUUUUGAAAGGCGGCGUAAGCUGUCGCUAAGGGAUGGCCCCGCGGUGCAUUAGCUAGUUGGUAGGGUAACGGCCUACCAAGGCAAUGAUGCAUAGCCGAGUUGAGAGACUGAUCGGCCACAUUGGGACUGAGACACGGCCCAAACUCCUACGGGAGGCAGCAGUAGGGAAUCUUCCACAAUGGACGAAAGUCUGAUGGAGCAACGCCGCGUGAGUGAAGAAGGUUUUCGGAUCGUAAAGCUCUGUUGUUGGGAAGAAGGAUA